rnacentral:rRNA from 1 species
GACAGAGGGUGCAAACGUUGUUCGGAAUUACUGGGCGUAAAGCGCGUGUAGGCGGCGGUGCAAGUCGGGUGUGAAAGCCCUGGGCUCAACCCAGGAAGUGCAUUCGAUACUGCGCUGCUAGAGUCCCGGAGAGGAUGGUGGAACUCUCGGUGUAGAGGUGAAAUUCGUAGAUAUCGAGAAGAACACCGGUGGCGAAGGCGGCCAUCUGGACGGUGACUGACGCUGAGACGCGAAAGCGUGGGGAGCAAACAGG